rnacentral:rRNA from 1 species
ACGGGUGAGUAAUGUCUGGGGAUCUGCCCGAUAGAGGGGGAUAACCACUGGAAACGGUGGCUAAUACCGCAUAACGUCGCAAGACCAAAGAGGGGGACCUUCGGGCCUCUCACUAUCGGAUGAACCCAGAUGGGAUUAGCUAGUAGGCGGGGUAAUGGCCCACCUAGGCGACGAUCCCUAGCUGGUCUGAGAGGAUGACCAGCCACACUGGAACUGAGACACGGUCCAGACUCCUACGGGAGGCAGCAGUGGGGAAUAUUGCACAAUGGGCGCAAGCCUGAUGCAGCCAUGCCGCGUGUAUGAAGAAGGCCUUCGGGUUGUAAAGUACUUUCAGCGGGGAGGAAGGCGAUGUGGUUAAUAACCGCGUCGAUUGACGUUACCCGCAGAAGAAGCACCGGCUAACUCCGUGCCAGCAGCCGCGGUAAUACGGAGGGUGCAAGCGUUAAUCGGAAUUACUGGGCGUAAAGCGCACGCAGGCGGUCUGUUAAGUCAGAUGUGAAAUCCCCGGGCUUAACCUGGGAACUGCAUUUGAAACUGGCAGGCUUGAGUCUCGUAGAGGGGGGUAGAAUUCCAGGUGU